UAGGAUAGCUCAGUGGUAGAGCAAUCGACUGCAGAUCGAUAGGUCCCCGGUUCAAACUAGUGUUCGGAA